rnacentral:tRNA from 1 species
CAGAGGGUAGUUUAAGUGAAAAUAUUAAUUUUGGGGAUUAAUGAUAAAGUAAUAAUUUUCCCUCUGA